CCUCAUACUUAUUUUGUAAGAAACAUAGUAGACAGCACAAUACAGAAAACCAGAGAGUACAUCAGAGAUAUGGUUAAGUAUCAAUCAAUACACGACAUCUGACGCAAAUACAAACAUAUUUCACAUAACUUUGAUGAUGCAGCAGGUUCAACUUUUCUUAAGCCUUCAUGGAUAAAUAUACAGGUUUAGUGAUGCUUCUUCUCGAAAAGACCAUCCGAACCUGCAUUCAAAAUUGGGCCAGCCAAAUUUUAGCUUAAAUAAAUAGUUUGUUACCUUAAUAAAACCUAAAUCUAACUACAAAUUUAUCUGCACAUGGAAUUUUCAGCGACAGAAAUAAGUAUACCCCCUAAAAACAUAUAGAGAGUAACCGACAUUGGCUUGAACACUCACGUAACGCUAGAAUUC
rnacentral:lncRNA from 1 species